UACGUAGGGUGCAAGCGUUAAUCGGAAUUACUGGGCGUAAAGCGUGCGCAGGCGGUUGUGUAAGACAGGUGUGAAAUCCCCGGGCUUAACCUGGGAAUGGCAUUUGUGACUGCACGGCUAGAGUGUGUCAGAGGGGGGUAGAAUUCCACGUGUAGCAGUGAAAUGCGUAGAGAUGUGGAGGAAUACCGAUGGCGAAGGCAGCCCCCUGGGAUAACACUGACGCUCAUGCACGAAAGCGUGGGGAG
rnacentral:rRNA from 1 species